CUUAUACUUCCAACAGUUGUUUUUCUAGUCGCAUUUUGUCAAUUUUCGUGCAGCGAUUUGUUUUUAUUAAAUCAUUUAUUUAUUGAAAAUAUCAAUCACCAACUAAGCCGCGGACCAUGCAUUUUCCUUACAUGAAAAUUGCCAUCUACGUGCUAACGUUUCUUACCUACGCAUACUCGGGAUAUGGCUCCAGUACGAUUGUGCAUCUGCGAGACGCCAUCAUCGCGGCAGAGGCAAUAUUCGGUGAUGUUUUCAAGAAUCUGGUGACGGUUGUCAGGAAGUUCCGCACAGUGCAUGAAGUAUUCGAUGCAGCGGUGGACGAGAAUUGCAUAUUUCAAUGUACAGGACCAGAUGGAAAACCAACAGAUGUACGUCCCGUCCAGAAUAAACUUUACACCCCCACAGCCGAUGGCUGUGGCUCGCUAGGUCUACGCAUCAACACCGAAUACUUGCCCGCGGUAGAAAUGGAGAACUGCUGUAAUGAGCACGAUAUUUGCUAUGACACAUGUAACAGCAACAAGGAGCUAUGUGAUUUGGAUUUCAAGCGCUGUCUUUACAAGUAUUGCGACACCAUUGAUAAAUCCGUUGGCAGUGAAUAUCUCAUAACCAGCUGUAAAGCUGCUGCCAAAGUGCUAUUCACGGGUACCUUAACGCUAGGUUGUAAAUCAUAUUUGGAUUCGCAAAAGCGUACAUGUUACUGCGCGCCGCCGAAGCAAUCGAAAGAGGAUGGGCGUGGCUACAACGGAUAUAAGAACGGAAAUGGUGAUAAGUAUUAUAAGCAGGGCAAGAAGCAGAAAUAUGGCUGGAAGGAUCCAAACGAUAUGUAGUGCUGCCGCUGAGUUAAAGCUACUGGUGCUUCCGCUUAAGUAGCUGCAUUAUGCGUUUUCUUUAGCAACUUUGUUUCUUCAUGUUAUUGUUCAACGCACACAACAUAAAUUAAUUAAAACACAUUUGCAAUAGUAUUUUGAACAUAUUGCUAAGAUGAGAGAGAUGUACAUAGUCAAAUGUAUUUUUUAGAAGUUGAAAACUUUCGAGUGAAUUUAUUUACAUAUUUGUUUAUUUACUAUUAGAACCAACGAACUUGUCCAAGGGAAGAUAUGUAUUUUAGAUUUUAUUACAAAAUAAAACUAAUUCGUAAUUACAUACUAUAUAAUAUUCUAACUUACAUUUGUAAUUAUUUAGUUAUUUAAGCUACUUCUUUCCAAUUGCGAUUUUGCAGCAGUAUAAUAGGACAACUGGUGCACUUUUACUCGGUACUCAAUAUUUGGCUUCUGACUGUCCACCAUCACUUCCAGCAACCAUUUGUGACCUACAAGAGAGAAUGCACAAGCUUAUCAGAAGCGAUAAGUAACACGUUUUCGGCGCAGGCAAUAACCCGACAGCAUCCACCAGGACGUCGUUGAGGACCAUGAUCCCGAGAGAAGGGUCGCAAGACAAGUAAAAAAACCAGUAGAACUUUCAAACACGCCUUACUCUUUUUCGAUGGCAAAUAUUGUAGACGAGGGCACGAAAAGGGGUAUACGGGUAUAAUUUAAUUAAGAUUACUGAGUUCUAGUUACACUGUUGACUAGAUAGAUGUCUUCUGAAUGAAUACAAAUGUUAUGAAACAUUGUAGUCAAAGAGUUAAAGAAUCAACUGUAUAAUUU
rnacentral:misc_RNA from 1 species